CCCCAUGUCCUCCAAGAAUAGCUCGUUGGAAACGGGUGGUAAUGCUGGAUGCUCCAACUUGACGCAUGUCUUGUUGGGAAAGUGUUUAGUGGCAUGGGAUGGGGUCGCGUCCUAUCAGCUUGUAGGCGGGGUAAUGGCCCACCUAGGCUUCGACGGGUAGCCGGCCUGAGAGGGCGGACGGCCACAUUGGGACUGAGAUACGGCCCAGACUCCUACGGGAGGCAGCAGAC
rnacentral:rRNA from 1 species